UGUUCAAAUUUUCUAUUUCUUCCCAUUUGAGUUUUGGUAGUGUGUGGGUAUCUAUGAAUUUGUCCAUUUCUUCCAGGUUGUCCAAUUUGUUGGCAUAUAAUUUUUCAUAGUAUUCCCUGAUAAUUGUUU